UACGUAGGGUGCAAGCGUUAUCCGGAAUUAUUGGGCGUAAAGAGCUCGUAGGCGGUUUGUCACGUCUGCUGUGAAAACUGGAGGCUCAACCUCCAGCCUGCAGUGGGUACGGGCAGACUAGAGUGCGGUAGGGGAGAUUGGAAUUCCUGGUGUAGCGGUGGAAUGCGCAGAUAUCAGGAGGAACACCGAUGGCGAAGGCAGAUCUCUGGGCCGUAACUGACGCUGAGGAGCGAAAAGCAUGGGGAGCGAACAGG
rnacentral:rRNA from 1 species